ensembl:snRNA U6 U6 spliceosomal RNA
UUUGGCAUUGGAAUGAUACAGAGAAGAUUAGCAUGACUCUUGCACAAGGAUCACAUGCAAAUUCAUGAGGGGCUUCCUACUUUU